UACGGGGGGGGCGAGCGUUGUUCGGAAUCACUGGGCGUAAAGGGCGCGUAGGCGACCCGCACAAGUCUGCGGUGAAAACCCCCGGCUUAACCGGGGGCCGGCCGUGGAAACUGUCGGGCUGGAGGCUGGGAGAGGGCAGCGGAAUUCCCGGUGUAGCGGUGAAAUGCGUAGAGAUCGGGAGGAACACCGGCGGCGAAGGCGGCUGCCUGGACCAGUCCUGACGCUGAGGCGCGAAAGCUAGGGGAGCGAACGGG
rnacentral:rRNA from 1 species